rnacentral:rRNA from 1 species
UACGAAGGGGGCUAGCGUUGCUCGGAAUCACUGGGCGUAAAGCGCACGUAGGCGGCUUUCUAAGUCAGGGGUGAAAUCCUAGAGCUCAACUCCAGAACUGCCUUUGAUACUGGGAAGCUCGAGUCCGGGAGAGGUGAGUGGAACUCCGAGUGUAGAGGUGAAAUUCGUAGAUAUUCGGAAGAACACCAGUGGCGAAGGCGGCUCACUGGCCCGGUACUGACGCUGAGGUGCGAAAGCGUGGGGAGCAAACAGG